AAGCCCGAGCCUCAGCUCCUAGGCCCCGCCCGCCCCGGCGGCUGAGCAGACAAGCCUCUCGGGCUGAUGCCUGGUGCUGUGGAAGAUGCUGGAAUUGCAUAUUGUAGAAAACCAAACACCACUGGUACCACAAGAAGCUUACAACAGGUGUAAACUAAGAAGAAUCUGAAAAGUUGAGUCAACACAGUUUCCCCAGAGGCAAGGUGGAAGAGGAAGAGAGUCCCAUGGCCAUGGGUAAUAACAGAGAGAAGAGCAACUUGCUCAGCAGAUCAGUUGACUUCUGGUGACCCAGCCUUCUAGGAUUAUUCCCUAGCUCAAGUUCCGGAAUCAGUUAGUCAUAUGGCAUCUAGACACAUAGAGGUUGUUUAGGAAAGACCUUUGAUAAUGACAUAAUGGUGAGCCAACUAAAUGCCCCCCGCUCCCUCUAAAAGUUGGAAGAAUGGCACGUUUGGCAAUUUUUUUUUUUUUUCAAUUUUCAAUUUUUAAAAUUUGUUUCAAAGUUAAACCCAAGACACAUUGACUUCAUAGGAAGUCCACUGAGAAAUGUUUUUCUAGGCUGAACACCUGUUUGCCCUCAGCCUCCCUCAACAGAGCAUGUACAUGUUAAUUACUUUCACUUUCCAAUCACUGCCGUCCCACCACUAUACCGAGAUCACCUAAACUGUGUGUGUUGUAUUCUGAAUGUUCUUAGUUAUACCCUAAUUUCACUAACUGCAAAAGAUUUUCUGGG